CAAAUUUGUGAUCACCUAGUCGUGGGGAUCUCAAGUUUGACUCUUGACAAGCUAGAUGGAGGCUUGGGAGGAAGCGGGUCAAAUGGAGCAAGUACGAAGAGAAAACGUUGCUUGGAUGCGAGGUGAAUGUCGAGAGUCCCGGAUGAAGACUAAGCAUCGAGCA